UUGUGAGAAAUAUCAGAUCCAUUGCAGGAAAUAAAGAAAAGACAUGUUCUCUGCAGACCCACAUGGCAGGUGCGGGGACUGCUUGCCAACCCAUGGCAACUCACCUGUAGCGCAUGGAGAUUUGGGGGUAAACCCAGUGAUGCUGAGUAUGUGGGCUGCCCAAGCUGGGUGGCAACCAACCCCAGCAUUGAAUGUGCUGAGAGCUGGACCGGUGGAUGUCCCCACUGCCCUGAGGCAGGUCCAGGAGAAGGCUCCUACCUGCUGUGCAGAGGGCAAGCUCAUGGCUGUCAGAGGCUCCUAACUGCACCCACCCCCGAUCAGCCAAAGCCAAUUACUCCACGUCCAAGACACAGGCGUGUUAAAAUGUAAACGGCCAUUCAUCAUCUGGCAGCGUGACCGUUUGCCCCUAUCAGGCCCCAGUCCGGCCUCACCACGCCUCCAUGCUCUCCUCAGCGUCAAAGAAACAGCCUUGUCCUGCCAGGGCCUUCGCCAGGCCCGGCCUGGGAAGUCAGGGCUCUCUGACCCAAUGGAGCGAAUCGUUGCGAG
rnacentral:lncRNA from 10 species